GCUGUGAAUGCAGGUGGAACUACAGACUUUUAAUCUCGUGGUCGCGGGUUCGAUUCCCGCCAGUCCUGCGCGAGCGGGACCGUAGCUCAGCGGUAGAGCACGAUGUUUCGCCGAUCCUCGUCGCAGCAGG
rnacentral:Y_RNA from 1 species